rnacentral:rRNA from 1 species
AUUGAACGCUGGCGGCAUGCCUUACACGUGCAAGUCGAACGGCAGCACGGGGCAACCUGGUGGCGAGUGGCGAACGGGUGAGUAAUGCAUCGGAACGUACCUUUCAGUGGGGGAUAACGUAGCGAAAGUUACGCUAAUACCGCAUAUUCUGUGAGCAGGAAAGCAGGGGAUCGCAAGACCUUGCGCUGAUUGAGCGGCCGAUGUCAGAUUAGCUAGUUGGUGAGGUAAAGGCUCACCAAGGCGACGAUCUGUAGCGGGUCUGAGAGGAUGAUCCGCCACUGGAACUGAGACACGGUCCAGACUCCUACGGGAGGCAGCAGUGGGGAAUUUUGGACAAUGGGGGCAACCCUGAUCCAGCCAUGCCGCGUGAGUGAAGAAGGCCUUCGGGUUGUAAAGCUCUUUCGGCCGGGAAGAAAUCGCACGGGCUAAUACCCUGUGUGGAUGACGGUACCGGAAUAAGAAGCACCGGCUAACUACGUGCCAGCAGCCGCAGUAACAC